rnacentral:rRNA from 1 species
GACAGAGGGUGCAAACGUUGCUCGGAAUCACUGGGCGUAAAGGGCGUGUAGGCGGGACAGUAAGUCGGGCGUGAAAUCCCUGGGCUCAACCCAGGAACUGCACUCGAAACUACUAUUCUUGAGUGUCGGAGAGGAAAGCGGAAUUCCUGGUGUAGAGGUGAAAUUCGUAGAUAUCAGGAGGAACACCAGUGGCGAAGGCGGCUUUCUGGACGAUAACUGACGCUCAUGCACGAAAGCGUGGGGAGCAAACAGG